rnacentral:misc_RNA from 1 species
GAUGAAGAACGUAGCGAAAUGCGAUAAGUAAUGUGAAUUGCAGAAUUCCGUGAAUCAUCGAAUCUUUGAACGCACAUUGCGCCCCCUGGCAUUCCGGGGGGCAUGCCUGUCCGAGCGUCAUUUCUGCCCUCAAGCACGGCUUGUGUGUUGGGUGUGGUCCCCCCGGGGACCUGCCCGAAAGGCAGCGGCGACGUCCGUCUGGUCCUCGAGCGUAUGGGGCUCUGUCACUCGCUCGGGAAGGACCUGCGGGGGUUGGUCACCACCAUGUUUUACCACGGUUGACCUCGGAUCAGGUAGGGAUACCCGCUGAACUUAAGCAUAUCAAUAAGCGGAGGA